rnacentral:sRNA from 1 species
AAAAUCAAAUAAAAAUAUACAAUCUUAAACACUAAACAAAAUUUUGCCAAAAAA